CUGCUUUCUGUCCUAACCUCUCCUGCAUUCUCCUUCCCUUGAACUUCAUCCAUACAUUUCCAAUUUGUUGACCUCCCCCCC